UCAUUGGUGAAGUUGUAGCCUCAGCAACAGUUGAAAGCCCAGGAAUGAAAGGGUCAUGCAGGGAUGUUGAGACUUGACACCAUGAAGAGAGACUAGGAGAAGCUAUUAGUAAAAGUGGAUCCCAGUUGCAGCAGAAGGCCCCAGAACUUUGGAGAUGCCCAUGCCAUGGGUUGGCUACCAAGAACAGUAGCAGCGGUAGAGUGGGGCUAGCCAGAGCAUAGGAGGCAAACUGCACUUGGUACACUGGGAGGAGCCUAGGAAGUUAUGCAAACGCUUUGGAGGAGCCCAGAAGAUGCUGAGUGAUCCCAUUGGACAAAAAUCAGACAGUCACAGGAUCAAGGACCUGGGCAUUAAUGACACAUUAUAGAGAGGAGAAAAGAAGAAGGAGAGGGAGAAGGAAUCUACAACAGAUUGAGUUUGUAUGAGGCUUCAGGAAUUUAAACAUAAAAUGCCAUUGUCGGUGCUUUCUAAGGCUGUGCAGCUACAAUGAAGCUGAAAGGUUCUCUUCAGUGUCCACUGUCCUGAUGCUGGUGGCACAAUCAUGCCUAUUAUAUUUAUUUGGCAUUGUUUAUUUUUGCCACAAUUAUUGUCAAACCCAAUAUACCAAACAAGUAUUUGUGAACAGGCUAGUUCCAUAUUUAUUCUUGUUUGGAAGUAAUUUAAACAGGAUUGUUUUUAUUCAUUUGCAAGUUUAUAAUAAAGUUUAUUUUAAAAAUAAA